CCUCCGAAAUCAUGAGCAUUCCAUUGUUCUCAAGAACGAAGCUAAUCCAGUCAAUGUGAGGCCCUAUCGCUACCCCCAAAUUCAGAAAAAUGAAAUUGAACGACUGAUCAAGGAGAUGCUAGCAGCUGGAAUAAUUAAAGGAGAUCCUAUCAUAAAGCAACGGUUCCACACAAAUAUCCUAUUCCCACCAUUGACGAAUUGCAUGGAGCCCAAGUUUUUUCAAAGCUCGACCAAAAAUCCAGAUACCAUCAGAUCUGAGUUAGAGCAGAAGAUGUGCCAAAACUGCCUUCCAGAAACAUGACGGACGCUACAAAUUUUUAGUGAUGCCAUUUGGCCUCACAAAUGCUCCAUCCCCCUUUCAGACUUUGAUGAACGAUAUAAUCAGGCCACAUUUAAGAAAAUUCAUCUUAGUUUUCUUUGAUGAUAUUCUCAUUUACAGCAAAGAUGAAACCACUCAUAGAGCUCAUUUUUCCAUUACUUUAUAGCUAUUACAACAGCAUUGUUUAUCGCUAACUUGAAGAAAUGUGAGUUUGGACAAAAGAAGAUUGCUUACUUGGGCCAUUGGAAAUCCAAAGGAGGUGUGGUGGCUGAUCCCAGUAAAAUAACAGCCAUGGUGGAAUGGCCUCGACCUUGGUCGCUCAAGGAAUUGAGAGGAUUUUUGGGUCUCACAGGUUACUAUAGCAAAAUUUGUGGUCGGGUACGUAAGAAUAGCUCACCCAUUGACUGAACAAUUGAAGAAAGAUAAUUAUGGAUGGAAUGAAGAAGCAGAAACAACCUUUCAACAAUUGAAAGAAAUCAUGACCAAGGUGCCUAUCCUCGCUUUACUAGAUUUUUCCAAAAAAUUUGUGGUAGAAAUGGAUGCUUCAGGUUUCAGGUUAGGAGCUGUCUUAUCUUAAGGAACACACCCUAUUGCCUUUUUCAGCCAUACAUUAGGUUCUAGCGGCAAAGUCAAGUCUAUAUACGAGAAAGAGCUCAUGGCCAUAGUCUUUGCGGUGAACAAAUGGAGACCCUACUUAGAAAAAAAAAUUAUAGUGCGAUCAAACCAACAACGCCUAAAAUUCUUGCCGGAACGAGUAGUGGGUGAAUAAUAUCAAAGAUGGAUCACAAAACUCAUGGGGUAUAAAUUUUACAUUGAAUAUAGAAGUGGAGCAAGUAAUAAGGCAGUUGAUGCUCUAUCUAGAAAGCCUUGUUUUCACUCAUGGGACCCCAAUGGGAAAAUUGGGACCAACUCCAAAAAGACAUUGAUCAAGACCCAUUUUUAUGGGACUUAAAGACGGGAUUGAAGUUGACAGACAACAACAUCUUGGGUUCACAGUGGUAGAGGGCUAUCUCUAUUACAAAGGUCGUUUAGUUAUUCCUAAAGACUCCAAACUCAUUCAACCAUUACUGGAAGCAUUUCAUAACUCACCUAUUGGAGGACAUUCAGGUGAAGAUAAAACUUAUCAGCAACUGAAAUCCGAAGAAUUUUGGAUAGGAAUGCGCAAAGAUAUUUCUCAAUACAUUCAACAAUGCCCCAAGUGCCAGCAACACAAGUAUAUGGCCACAACACCUGCUGGUUUACUGCAACUAAUAGCUUUACCAGCCUAUGUUUGGGAUGAAAUCUCUUAUGGAUUUCAUUGAAGGCCUACCUAAAUCUGACAGCUGGAUACUAUCUUUGUAGUAAUUGAAAAACUCAGCAAAUAUGCCCAUUUUGUCGCCCUCAAACAUCCUUUUACAGCAGCAACUGUGGCUCAAAUGUUUGUUAGAGAAGUAGUGCGGCUCCAUGGUAUUCCCCAAUCCAUCAUUUUUGAUAGAGAUAAGAUUUUUUUCAGUCAAUUUUGGGAUGAGUUAUUCAAAUUACAGGGACACUACGUUGAAGAAAAGCAUAGCUUAUCACCCCCCAAACUGAUGGCCAAACUGAAGUGGUUAACAGGUGCCUUGAAACAUAUCUUCGAUGCUUUUCUUUGGACAAACCACGACAAUGGUCUCGCUGGCUGCCUUGGGCAGAAUACUGGUAUAAUACAUCAGUCCACUCAGCCACUGAAUGUUCCCCAUUCAAGGCACUCUAUGGACGUGAGCCUCCUCCCAUCUUACAUUAAAAAAAAAGUACUUCAUCACUGUCAGCCGUAGACACUACACUAGCAGAUCAGGAUGAAAUCUUAGAUGAACUCAGAAUGCAUUUACUUAAAGCCCAACAACGUAUGAAGCUACAAGCCGACUCCAAGCGCCACCGUGAAGAAUUUGACAUUGGGGACCAUGUUUUUCUCAAACUACGACUUUAUCGACAAAAUAGUUUAGUGCAACACAAGUCUGAAAAGUUGUUGCCACGCUACUAUGGGCCCUAUCGUGUGGUGGCUCAAAUUGGGAGAGUUGCUUAUAAGCUGGAGCUACCUGAUUCAGCAACCAUCCACCCCUGUUUUUCAUGUUUCUCAGUUGCGAAGAGCUCAAGGGAUGACUAAUUCUUCCACUACCAUACCAAAACAACUCAACCCAAACAUGGAACUUGAGGUCGAACCUGAAAAACUCCUAAAGAUGCGAAACAAGAAGAAUGAGCAAGCUGGAGAUUUAGAGGUGUUGAUAAAAUGGAAAUCCAUGUCUGAAUUCGAAUCUACUUGGGAGGACUACAAUAAAAUACAAGAGCAAUUUCCGGAUUUUCAUCUCGAGGACAAGGUGAAUCUUUGGAUCCGGGGUAAUGUUAGACCAGCCAUACGUCUAACAUACUCUAGGCACUAGAAAGGAUAAUGUAGAUAUAAUGUUUUCAUUAAUUAAAUGUCCUACUCAGCAAGUUGUAAUUUUCUUAGUGCCUGUCUAUUUUGUUUAGUUAUCCUAGUCAGCCUUAUUACUAAUUUUAGUUGGCUGGGAUUGCUUAUAAAUAGAGUAAAUCUCUAGUUUAGGGAUAUGAGAUUAAUUGAAUUGUACUUUGUAGAGUGAAAAAACCUCUUGUGGAGUUUAACCAAGUGACUCGAAGACUUGGUACACAAAUUGUAUUCUUGCUCUUGUUGUCAAUAAAGGUUCAUUCUAA